rnacentral:rRNA from 1 species
CCUACGGGUGGCAGCAGUGAGGAAUAUUGGUCAAUGGACGAGAGUCUGAACCAGCCAAGUAGCGUGAAGGAUGACUGCCCUAUGGGUUGUAAACUUCUUUUAUAUGGGAAUAAAAUGUUCCACGUGUGGGAUUUUGUAUGUACCCUAUGAAUAAGGAUCGGCUAACUCCGUGCCAGCAGCCGCGGUAAUACGGGGGAUCCGAGCGUUAUCCGGAUUUAUUGGGUUUAAAGGGAGCGUAGGUGGAUUGUUAAGUCAGUUGUGAAAGUUUGCGGCUCAACCGUAAAAUUGCAGUUGAAACUGGCAGUCUUGAGUACAGUAGAGGUGGGCGGAAUUCGUGGUGUAGCGGUGAAAUGCUUAGAUAUCACGAAGAACUCCGAUUGCGAAGGCAGUUCACUGGACUGCAACUGACACUGAGGCUCGAAAGUGUGGGUAUCAAACAGGAUUAGAUACCCCAGUAGUC